rnacentral:antisense_RNA from 1 species
GCAGAAGUGCCGAGUCCCGACCGGGGGCAGCCUCGCCGCCGCUCAGCUCGGGAAUCCCUGCCCCCCACCAGCACCUCAGUGGGGGAUACUGCAAGUUCAAGCACCAGCCUCACGGUAACAGCCGGCACACAGCACUUAGGCUGCCUGGUGUUCCAGAAGCUUCUGCAGGGGCCCUAUGCUGCACUCAAGGCAUCCCUAAGAGGAGAGCAUUUUGCUGUCCCCACUUUACCGAGAAGGAACCUGGGCUCAGGGUGGUUUAAGGCGUGAAUGAAUGAAGGAGCAAGCAGUAAGCCCCGACAGCAAGGCCACCACAGCCCUCGCCCCACAGGGACGCCUGAGCAAGGACCCAAGCAGGGGACAAGCAGGCUCACCCCGCCCUUGCGGGGCUGACCACGAGGCCCCGUCCGGUGGAACAUGCCAUGACGCUUCAGGAGGCUCAUGUAGCUGGCGCCGUAUGGGACAGCGGGGGAGAGAGAAAAUGCACAGCCCAGGGAAUGUGGAGACAGGCCCAGCGCCAGGCAUGGGGGCCGGAAGGAGCAGCCGGGGAGCAGAGGGCAGGGCCUGGAGUCCCGCCUUGCAGAUCUGAACCUGCCCCAGCCCCAGGACUCUGAGUGCAGCCAGAGGGGAGCCGGGCUGGAGAGUGGGGAGCACGGAGACUGUGGCCUGGAUGGUGCCAGAGCAAACAGGGGAGAGGCUGCCCCACGCAGAGGCUGCGGCACAGCCCAGAGGGUCCCGGGGCUGACUGGGUGGGGGCAGCUCCCAGCGAGAGGCCCCUGGGAUUUGGGUAAGUAGAGGCACAUGCAGACUCUGGCCACAGGGCACCUCACGCACGAGGGGAGUUCACCACACAAGCUGAGCGGAGGGCGGACGCAGGAGACCAGCGGUUUCUCGGAAGCCAAGGGCAGUCAUGGAGCCCCACGCCACAGCGCUUCCCACAGGGCCACACCAUCCGGUCUGCGGAGGGGGCUGCAUUGCCGGGAAGGACCAUCUGAUUCUGGAUUCCAGCCUCACCCUGGGCCACCGCUGAGUGUCCCAAGUGGCCCCUUAGCCCCCAGGGCCAGGCGGCAUCCCAAUCCCCUAGGGAUGUCUGUGCUCAGAAUGUGGCACACACGCCCCGGCAGGGCCAUCCUCCUCCUCCUGCACCCGCCACAGCCGUGGGUUCGGGGUCUCUAUCGUGGGCAGAAAUUCACACAGUCAAGGUGAGGGUCCCAGGAGCAGCUGUGACCAGGCCCCGGCUGCCAGGGAGAGGGGGUCUUCAGCCGACGGGGCAGACACCCUGAGAUGGACCCUCGUCCAGGGGAGGGCCCUGCCACCCACAAUUCCUUGGCAUUCCUGCACCAGCAGGACGGGCUGAGGGAGGCGCCUCGCCAGUGUCAGUGCCCAGCAUCACUGUGCCCCGGUGGAGGGGGAGGCCCUUCCGAGCCUGGGCCUGGGUGUGGAUGAGGGCAGGUCUCUCACCUCUCUGACCUCAGCUUCCUCAACUGGGAAGGGGGGCCGCAGCACCCCCUUAGGGGUGAUGAGGAAGUGGGAGCUCAGGGAGGACCCCGGGCAGGGCUGCCUCCUCACCUCUCUUCAGCUUUUGGACACUGGAGCUCAGAGGCCCAAGUGAAUGAAUGAAUGACUCAAUCAAUCAAGUGAUCCAUCAAUCCACGGACCCCUGAACAGCUGGACAGCUGGGCUGUGGGCAGGACAGGGGACUCUGGCUGAAGCCGCGUUCAUAUGUGUUCAGCUUUAGGCCUCCACUGUGCCCGGACCAGCGGCCCACUCAGUGAGUCGAGUGUGCACCUGGCACCCCUCUUUCUGGAAAUCCACGAACAAUGGGCUCCCAGCAGAGGACUGAGGCUGAGCAGGCCACUUCCCUGGAGCUGACCCCACAGCUGUCCUGCUCCUUCUUCGCCUUCUGCCAUGACUGUAAGCUUUCUGAGGGCUGACCAGAAGCCCAGCAGAUGCCAGCACCAUACUUCCUAUACAGCCUGCAGAACCGCGAGCCAGCUAAACCUCUCCUCAUAAAUCACCGAGCCCCAGGUUUAUCUUUACAGCAAUGCAAGACCUGACCAAUACAGCACAAGCUCCCCAAAAUAAAAAGAAAUAUUCAAACAAAUAAGCGCACAGAAGUGUUCCCAGCAGCACUAUUCACAGCAGCCAAAAGGUGGAGGAGCCACAGGCCUGUCAGCUGAUGACAGAUAAAGAAAGCAUGGCCUGUCAUCCCAGCACUUUGGGAGGCCGAGGUGGGUGGAUCACCUGAGGUCGGGAGUUCAAGACCAGCCUGGCCAACAUGGUGAAACCCAGUCUCUACUAAAAA